GCAGCCUCCGGAGCCUCCCACCGACCCGGGAUUAAUACCCCGCGGCGCGGCCGCCGUCGCCGCUGCCGCGUCGGGGCCUCGGGGGCUGCUCCGGGCUCCGCUCAUGUCACAGGCGUCUUCGCGUGCGGCCCGAAGGGCUGCGAGAGUGAGGGAGAGGCCGGGAGGGCUGGGACCAGGAAUCGCGUUCAACCCCAUCUGGUGCGUCUUUGGCAGAAAGUGAGGAAAGCACCCCCAUUGU